GGAAUUUACAGCCAAUUAUAAGCAGGCAUUAUUAAUAUUUGUGUUUUGGGGUCAGACCAGAGUUUGGUAGGUUUGUACCCAUCUGUAAGCCAGAAUCCCUGAAUCUCCUUCAUACACAACUGCGUGGUCUUGUGGAGGCGAGACGUCCGGGGGGAACGAACGGUAACUCCAAGAGCCUGUGUGGGGGUGUCUGUGCAAGGAGGAGCUUGGAAAGUGCUAGAAGUUGUGUGCAGCCUCUUGGGAAGCCCUCCCUCUGAAGAGUUGUGUUGCUGUGGGAAGGAAGCAGCGUGUUGGAAGAGGGCCUUAACGCAGCCGCCUUUCCCAAGAGUUCGGGGAGUCAUUCUGAUGAGCCAUCAGCAGGAACUGAGGUGAGGGAAAAGUGGUUUGUAGUUUAAGUACCUCCAAACUCGACUUCCCAACGUUACCCCUCCACUUAAUUACAGUCCUCUAAGCUGAUUGUCCUUUGUCAGUUUGACACACAGACGUUCCCAGGUGUCUGACUGUUGGCGCGCAUCGGCUCAGAGAAGGGGAGGGGGCGCUACCGCCGGUGCACAGAGUAGACGUGCUUCUGGGUCCUGUGAGAAAGCCUGGUUUGCCACCAAAUGCCCGGCUCGGAGAUGGUCCCACACCUUCUCUCGGAGCUGGGCGUGAGGUCCCGAGAGAUAACAACCUUUGAACUCACACGCAACCUGUGCUUGUUUACGUGACCGAUGGGGGAUGAACACGCUGUUUCAUCAGCUUUUUUUCAUUCGCUGAAUAUCACUGAAAUACAAAUCUUGCCUUGCUGCUUUUCAAUCACUAAUUUUCAGACAACGAGAAAACUACAUUUUGUAUGAAAACAAAGUGACCAUAAUUGGGAUCUGAUCUCAAACAUCACCCCUGGAAAGAGUUUUCUCUGAUUUUCCUAUGGAAAGUCACAUCCCCCUCUGGUUCUAAUCAUGUUCUAGCCCCAGACCAGACCAAUAAUAAGAAGCGUGUGUGGAAAAAAAGGUGGCAUUGGGGCACAUGAGCCUUGGCUGUUGCUGAAUCCUAAUCUUACCAUUUUGCUCAUUUCUUUGGCCUAAUAAUUUCCUGAGGACAGCUCAGGGCCAUGUGGCAAAGCAUGAAGGCAAGAGAAGGCACAGCCGCAGUUCUGUUUUUCCGUGAUUUCUGUGGACAUUGUGUAUCUGCAGCUUAUCCAUUCAGUCAUAAGAUGCCUUUUUCUUUUUUCUAAGACAGGCUCUUCUACUUUGCCUUUUAAUCCCAUGUCCUUUCUAUUUACGAACCAUUUCUUGAUCUUGACCUUUGGUGUAUAUUUUUUCUCCUGGACUUUUAAUAAGUUUUUAAAAAUAAUCUUUUGACAUUUUAUGGGAUUUUUUUUUUGUUAUUGUUG
rnacentral:lncRNA from 1 species